CAUUAUGCCUGGAAUGGUUUAUGUUUCAAAUGAUUUAUCGCCAUAGGAUGGGACUGCGGCCUAUCAGUUUGUUGGUGAGGUAAUGGCCCACCAAGACUAUUACAGGUACGGGCUCUGAGAGGAGUAGCCCGGAGAUGGGUACUGAGACACGGACCCAGGCCCUAUGGGGCGCAGCAGGCGAGAAAACUUUGCAAUGUGCGAAAGCACGACAAGGUUAAUCCGAGUGGUUUCUGCUAAAGAAACCUUUUGUCAGUCCUAGAAACACUAACGAAUAAGGGGUGGGCAAGUUCUGGUGUCAGCCGCCGCGGUAAAACCAGCACCUCAAGUGGUCAGGAUGAUUAUUGGGCCUAAAGCAUCCGUAGCUCGUUUUGUAAGUUUUCGGUUAAAUCCAUGCGCUUAACGUAUGGGCUGCCGGGAAUACUGCAUAACUAGGAAGUGGGAGAGGUAGACGGUACUCGGGAGGAAGGGGUAAAAUCCUUUGAUCUCUUGAUGACCACCUGUGGCGAAGGCGGUCUACCAGAACACGUUCGACGGUGAGGGAUGAAAGCUGGGGGAGCAAACCGGAUUAGAUACCCGGGUAGUCCCAGCUGUAAACUAUGCAAACUCAGUGAUGCAUUGGCUUAUGGCCAAUGCAGUGCUGCAGGGAAGCCGUUAAGUUUGCCGCCUGGGAAGUACGUACGCAAGUAUGAAACUUAAAGGAAUUGGCGGGGGAGCACCACAAGGGGUGAAGCCUGCGGUUCAAUUGGAGUCAACGCCGGAAA
rnacentral:rRNA from 1 species